CCUACGGGUGGCAGCAGUGAGGAAUAUUGGUCAAUGGGCGCGAGCCUGAACCAGCCAAGUCGCGUGAGGGAAGACGGUCCUAUGGAUUGUAAACCUCUUUUGUCGGGGAGCAAAGAGAGUCACGUGUGACGCAUUGAGAGUACCCGAAGAAAAAGCAUCGGCUAAAGCCGUGCCAGCAGCAGCGGUAAUACGGAGGAUGCGAGCGUUAUCCGGAUUUGUUGGGUUUAAAGGGUGCGCAGGCGGAGGUGAAAGGCAGCGGUCAAAUUUCGGGGCUCAACCCCGUACUGCCGUUGAAACUGCAUCCCUUGAGUGCGCGAGAAGUAUGCGGAAUGCGUGGUGUAGCGGUGAAAUGCAUAGAUAUCACGCAGAACUCCGAUUGCGAAGGCAGCAUACCGGCACGCAACUGACGCUCAUGCACGAAAGCGUGGGUAUCGAACAGGAUUAGAUACCCUAGUAGUC
rnacentral:rRNA from 1 species